UACGUAGGGUGCGAGCGUUAAUCGGAAUUACUGGGCGUAAAGCGUGCGUAGGCGGUUUGUUAAGUCUGUUGUGAAAUCCCCGGGCUCAACCUGGGAAUGGCAAUGGAUACUGGCAAGCUAGAGUGUGUCAGAGGAUGGUGGAAUUCCCGGUGUAGCGGUGAAAUGCGUAGAGAUCGGGAGGAACAUCAGUGGCGAAGGCGGCCAUCUGGGACAACACUGACGCUGAGGCACGAAAGCGUGGGGAGCAAACAGG
rnacentral:rRNA from 1 species